GGAGUGUAACUGUUAAGUUAAUUUUACUCAUACAGCGGAGGAGAGAUGAUGCUGGCGCUAAUAUGGAGAGUGCAAUAAUUUAACAACCGCGUUUAAUAGACAUGACUGUUGUUUGAAAGAGUAAGUUUAAAGUAAUUAACGCUAUAAAUACAUGAAUAUACUUCUGUUCUAUCUAGGUUCAGAGCCCUUUUCUUGUUUAUGAAGGAAGAAAAAAUGGAAGAGAUGCUUUGGAAGUAAAAGUUGUGAAGGACAAGCCUGACAUCACCCAAAGGCAGCUCUUCUUACAGUAAACCAGGAUGCAGCUGACAGGACAGACUCCAGUAAGAGUCCUCAGUGUUGAUCAAGUCCACAUCUAACCCAUCUAGAGCGGGAAGCAUCUGAAGAAAACUUUGUAAUGGAUGAACCGACCGAUCUCAGGCCUUCUGUGUCCAUUUUUCAGACUGAUUUAUGCCCUGCUCCUGGACUAAGUGUUUGAAAAGCAGUUUAUAUUUUAUUCAGCAGCUCUUCUGGAUCUGAUGUCAUAAACCAGAAGAAUGACAGUAGCCACGCCCACCAGAGCAGAGAGGACCAAUCAGAUCACAGCUUCAGUAGAACCACAACAGUGUUCAGAGUCUGAGGAAUAAACACAUCAAACUGAGAUCAGCUCAGUCAAUAAACACUAAUAUCAGCUCUAAUAUCAGCUCUGCUGAACCUGAACA